UGGAACCUGGGAUUCAAGCCGCCAGGCAAAGUGCCCUAGCAGGGACUCUGGCUUAGUGAGAGUCUCUGUUUCCCCCUUUUCUUUCUUUCCACCCAAUAAAACCGGGUCUUACUCAUCAUUCAAAUUGUCUGCGAGCCUGAAUUUUUGUGGCCGUGGGACAAAGAACCCCGUCUUUAACGGAACUAAGGAAAAGCCCUGCAACAAUUUUGGCGCGCAACGUGGGGACUUGAGAAGCGGUUGAACUCUUUUGUGUCAACUAAAAGAACAUAUGAACAUAGCAGGGCUGUCAAGAUAAGGCCACAAGCUUGCCGAGUUGGGGACCUUUGAAAUACAAUGUGGAUUUGAAGAUGACUGGCCAAUGCAUUGGGAAUGAGACAUGUCAGAGUCAAGUAAAUAAAAUAACAGAAGAGAACAAAAGUAGGAAGACAAUAUGCCCAGGAAGAUGAAACAAAGCAGUCAGGGCCACAGAAUGGCUGCUGCCACUCCCAGCUUUAUGGGAAUUUAAGCAGCAGGAAGGGGCACAGCCAAAUAGGAACAGCUUUUACACUGUUAGUGGGAAUAUAAAUUAGUUCAACCAUUGUGGAAGAUGGUGUGGUGAUUCCUCAAAGAUCUAGAACCAGAAAUACCAUUUGACCCAGCAAUUCCAUUACUGGAUAUAUACCCAAAGGAAUAUAAAUCAAUUACAAAGACACAUGCACCCUAUGUGAUUGCAGCACUAUUCACAAUAGCAAAGACAUGGAAUCAACCCAAAUGCCCAUCAAUUUGAAUGAAUAAAGAAAAUGUGGUACAUAUACACCAUGAAAUACUAUGCAGCCAUAAAAAGGAACAAGAUUAUGUCCUUUGCAGGGACAUAGAUGGAGCUGGAAGCCAUUAUCCUUAGCAAACUAACGCAGGAACAGAAAACCAAAUACUUAUAAGUGAGAGCUAAACAAUGAGAACAUAUGGACACACAGAGGGGAACAACACACACUGGAUCCUGUCAGUGGGUGGGGUGGGGGAAGGGAGAGCAUUAGGAAAAAUAGCUAAUGCAUGCUGGGCUUCAUACCUCGGUGAGGGGUUGAUAGGUGCAGCAAACCUCCAUGGCACACAUUUACCUAUGUAACAAACCUGCACAUCCUGCACAUGUACCCCAAUAAAAAUUUAAAUUUAAAAAAUAGUGUUGACUAUAUUCCCCAUCUACCCCUUCCACUCUGAACAAAGGCUAUAUAGGUAUCUAGGCUCCAUUGGGAUUUUUGGAUAAUUACUCUGUGAUUCUCCCCCGUGCACAUUAAUAAAUUUGUAUGCCAUUUCUUUAAAAAAAGAAAAAAAAAGAAAAUGGGUAUUGAGUGAAUCAUUUCUUAACAUCUGCUAUGAUGAAGAAAAUAAUUUUUAGUACAUAAUUUGUGGCCUUCAAACUAAUAAUGCUAACAAUAGUCAGGAGGAUAACUAAACUGAGCUAAAAAGCCUCAUUAUUUGUAGCAGGUUGUCAAAAAUAAUAUCCUAAGUUGAUAUAUUAAGAAAUAAAGAUAAUAAACAGAAAAAAUUAAACAGAAUUAAAGGAAGUUUUGCCUUAGGAAUGGAGAUAAGAUGUUGGUGUAUAUGAGUAUCUAACAGGAGAGUUUUGAUUUUUAUUCCAAUAACUCAUUCCACAGACUCUGAUAGGAUGGCUCUUAUGUCCAAGGAGCUGCUCUCAUCACAUCACUUGGGAUGCAGCCAAGGAUAAGACAACAGUGACCUUACCCUUCAUUUAUGUUCUAAUAGCAAGUAUGAUAAAUCAGAUGUACAUAUAACAUUAGACAGUAAUAUGUGAUGAAAAGAUAGAGAUGCGGUUAAGGGUGAUUUGAAAUGAGGGUCCCGAAAGCCCUCUCGGAGGAGGUGACCUCUGAGCAGAAAUGGGAAUGAUGUACAGAGUGAGCCUUAUGGAGAGAUGCAGCCACAGGAAAAGUUGAGUCAGGUCUGCUGUAUCUCAGAGAUGGGACAAUAUUUUCUUUGAAAAGCCAGAGGGCUGACCCCAAACUACUCUACAAGGCACUAAUGAGGUUCUAACUUUAACUGUUAUUGAUCAGGCUUGUCAGAGCAACAGUCAUCAACUUCAUCCAAGGCCACAAAAUAUAUUCUAGCAGGACUAACCUUGAAUCCAUUGUAUUAAUGCAGUUUCUGAGGCCCUCAAACAAUGUUCAUUCCAAUGAGUUAUAUUCCAGGCUGUAGCUGUGGGAGGAAUCCAGAGUUUACCCAGGUAUUAAGAACCUCUGAAUAAGAAUGAACAGAAUAACAGACCAGAGAGAAUGACUUUGUAUUUUAAUCUGAUCUAAGAAUUUUGAAUUUGGGGCUUUCAUUUUUGUGGACAGGACAGUUUUAUUUCAGAUUUGAUACCUUUGGAAUUAUCACCUUUGGCCUUUAGUGUAAGGGGAUUCUAAUUUUGAACUUCAAUUUCUCCUAGGGAACUUAAUAAAUGCAGAGGACAAAUUUGGUAUGACUCUGACUGUCAUUUUGUUGAUGGGAGGUAUUUAUGUGUUUCAUUACAGCACUCAUUCUCAAUGCAGCAUCUCUUACAUGAUUAGCAUUGGACAAUAUGGCUGCACACACUUUGGAUAAAAUAUAGAACAGGGUAUAAAAUGUCAGCUUUUAAAUUAUGGAGAUGAUUUAAUAAUGUAUUCUUCCGAACCACUGCAUAGAGGUCUGGGGACAAAGCAUAUAAUACCCAACAGUGCUCCCAAGAGAAAUGAUACAAGUGGGCAGUGGUUGGUUUUGAGGGAGUGACCUUCACAAAGUUAGAAAUAGGACAGUUAUGGGGCUGAGAGGGAGGCGGGGACGGACCACUCUCUGCUUGACCGUAGUUUGGUGAUUUAAGUCUAAUAGGUUAAGAGAAAAAAACCUGGGGCAUGUUGGAAUGGAUGAGCUUCUCUCUAUUACCUUCCAUGUCAAGGAAGCAGAAUGGUAGUAAUAUCCCUGGGCUCUCAGUGUCUCUUUACUUUCCCCACCCCGACUGGUAAGUAAGGAAAGAGUAAACUGAGUACACGGACCUCAGUAACUCCCUUUUCUUUUGAAAGAAUUUCCUGCCCAUACAGAAAAGGAUUUCUCUUCUACAAUGUUGCCCUAUAAAUAAGGGUGCCUAAGACAGGGAGUAUGAUCACAAAGACUGCAGGUCAAAUAGUACCUAAAUCCACAAAAGAACUUCUACCUUGUCAUUUCUCUUGGAACCUGUCUCUCUGGACUUACCUUGACCCGGUGAUUUUGCAAGAUUUUUACUUUAAUUUUUAAUCUAUGGCAUCCAAUAUUUAAACACACUCAUGUACCACAUAAGGACAUUUUGGUCAACAAUGGAUGCACAUAUGAUGGAGGAUCCAAAAGAUUAUAAUGGAAUGGAAAAAUCCCUACCACCUAUUGAUAUCGUAGCUGUCCUAAGGUCAUGGAGCAAUGCAUUACUUAUGUGUUUGUGGUGAAUGCUGAUGUAAACAAAUCUGCACUGCCAGUUGUAUAAAAUUAUAGCACAUUCAAUUAUGUACAGUACAUACUUGAUAAUGAUAAUAAACAACUAUGUUACUCGCUUAUGUAUUUACUAAAUCUUUCACUGUUGUUUUAGAGUGUAC
rnacentral:lncRNA from 10 species